rnacentral:rRNA from 1 species
UACAAAGGGGGCUAGCGUUGCUCGGAAUCACUGGGCGUAAAGGGUGCGUAGGCGGGUCUUUAAGUCAGGGGUGAAAUCCUGGAGCUCAACUCCAGAACUGCCUUUGAUACUGAAGAUCUUGAGUUCGGGAGAGGUGAGUGGAACUGCGAGUGUAGAGGUGAAAUUCGUAGAUAUUCGCAAGAACACCAGUGGCGAAGGCGGCUCACUGGCCCGAUACUGACGCUGAGGCACGAAGGCCAGGGGAGCAAACGGG